UAGGGUGCACAUGCUCGUGUGGUCCAAGGGACACUCCCGUGUGACCCUAGCACACGCAUGUCCUGGAGGACGUGUUCGACCCCGUGUAACUCUCUGACUUGUGCACACGGUCGUGCCACAUGCCCGUGUGCUAGGUCGUGUGGUUAAUUAAUUCAAUUCGAAAUUAGGUACAGGUUUCACAUAGCCAAGAAACACACCCGUGUUCUAGGCCGUACAGCACACACUGCUGAGACACUACCUGUGUG
rnacentral:lncRNA from 1 species